rnacentral:rRNA from 1 species
CCCUUAGAUGUUCUGGGCAGCACGCGCGCUACAAUGGUCUUCGCAAACGGAUGCAUUCUCGAAGGAGAAUGCCAAUCUUGGAAUCUAUGCCUUGGUCGGGACAGUUGCUUGCAAUUUUUCGACUCGAACCAGGAAUUCCUUGUAAUCGUGAUUCAUCACAUCACGAUGAAUACGUCCCUGCCCUUUGUACACACCGCCCGUCGCUCCUACCGAUCGAAGAGUUAGGUGAAUUGUUUUGAUCGAUAAGAUUUGACUAUGGUCAACUCUCGUAGUGAAAUUCUGUGAAUCUGACUGUUUAGAGGAAGGAAAAGUCGUAACA